UUAUUAGGAACCUUUCCACCAAUAUUGAUUGAGCACUUACUAAAUGCUGGGCAUUUUCCUCAUGUCGCCACUUUAUGGAUAAAAUUGAGGUAUGAUAAGGGAACUGGAGCUUCCCUGUCACACUACAAGGGGCGGGGCAGAGGGUCAGAGCCAGGUCUGGUUCCAAGGCUUGUGUUCCUUGGUGUUUAAUCUGUUAGGAGGGUAGGACUGAGUCACUAACCCUCCCUCUGGCGCCAAUAGCCACUCCUGCCCUUCCUCUUCCUUUCUGAACAAGAACUGACUGGUUCAAACGAACUACAAGGUUGAUCCUGGUUUGGGAAGCUUCCAGCUUGGAAUGAUUACAAUAGAAAGAAGCUGUUCUCCUGAUUCUUCCUGAUGCUGACACACCUUCUCUUUUUAAAAACAAUAGCAUGGCACCUUUGAUUACUGUUAUAAAGUCCAGAGGUCUUCAGACUGGGGCACACCCACCCAGGGGGGUAUAUAAAGACUUUGUAAGGGGCACUUGGGCAUCGAAGUGUUGGGUUAUGUGUCCUCAACUUUCCUAUCGUCGAGUUCCUAAAACAGACUUGCAUAAGAACCUCUGGGCUGGGAGUUAUUUACCCUCUCCUACAUCUCUUCCUUUCUAUCAUCCUUUUGCUACUCUACAAAGGAAAGGCACCACCCUCCCCCAUCCCAAAUCUUACUAAAGUAUAUUGCCUGGGUGUAGAAACCUUUAUGAUAGCAAAGGGACAAUUUCAUUUCAUAAUACAUAUUUAUUAAAUACCUAAUAUAUACCAGGCACAGUUCUGGAUGAUGAGUUACUGCAGUGAACAUAACAGUAAAACAUUUCUGUCCUCAUGGGGCUUCCAUUUUAUCAGGAAGAGAUGGGCAAGAAGCAAAAAAGAUAUUAUCCAUGCUGCUUCUUUCAAUUAAGGCCCUAAAAUUUUCCCAUUAACCUGAUGAAGAAAUACAUUUCCGAAAAAUUUUCCUGGUUAUGUUUAGUAAUUAUCAAAACUUACAAAGUUACAUUAUUUUGAUCAGUUGUAUACUAGUAAUAAUUAUAAUGAAGACUCAAUCUAGCAAAAUUAAUACUUGGAAAAUCAUGGCAAUGGGAAAUUAAAUUUAAAUCACAAUUUAUAUAUGUAUUUUGAUUAUAGAGAAGUAUAAUAAUCAGUAAAAAGGCUUUAAGUAUAAAAAAUUACAUCAUAAGGCCGGGCGCGGUGGCUCAUGCCUGUAAUCCUAGCACUUUGGGAGGCCGAGGCAGGCGGAUCACGAGGUCAGUAGUUUGAGACCAGCCUGACCAACAUGGUGAAACCCCGUCUCUACUAAAAAUACAAAAAUUAGCCAGGCGUGGUGUCAUGCGCCUGUAAUCUCAGCUACUCAG
rnacentral:lncRNA from 1 species